rnacentral:lncRNA from 1 species
CAGAUUUGGAAUGCAUUCACGCAAGGCAGAGAUAAUUGAAAAUCCAACUAGAGCACGAAUUCAAAAAUAUCUAUUAUCUUAAAACAGUCAAAAACAAAAGACGUCGGAUACUUGAAUAUCCAAACAAAACUUUCAUUAGAAACAUCCCAGUAAGUGCUGAAAUAAUCUAACAGGCAGUGACAAUAACCAAAAACAAUGACGCCAAUGAAAAUCAUUAAACCUUGUCAGCCUUGGCGGCAGAGGCAGCAGCCUGUCCUCUAAGACGACCAGUUCUCCUAGCAGCAAUGAGACCAACCUUUUGACCAGGAGGAGCAUCACGCCUGACUGUGCUAGCAUGACCGAUAUGUUGAUGGUUACCACCACCAUGAGGAUGCUCAACAGGAUUCAUAGCCACACCACGCACCUUAGGCCAGCAGUUCCUCUUCACUCUGAACUUGUGGUAAGCAUUACCAGCCUUCAGCAUGGGCUUCUCGGUCCUUCCUCCACCUGCAACCUGUCCAAUCAUUCCACGGCAGCCACUUGGAACGAUCUUCUUGGAGCCAGAUGGGAGCUUGAUCCUGCAAGGAAUAAUCCCAACAUAUAAUUAGCAAAACUAUUUACAUACAGAGAUGCAAAUAUGCAAAACAAUUCGACUACUGGCAUGGUGGCAUAUAUCUGUCACCGAUCUUGUCAAAUUAACAAGAUAAUCAAAAUCAUAAAAAUCUACCAGCAUGAAAACAAAAACAUGUGCUUUGCAAGAUUAUAAUCAAAAUCAUUAAAAUCUACCAGCAUGAAUUAUUUAACUCAGACCACUGCAGAGAAAUGAAACAUAGGCUAUCAAGAAGCAAUAAAGCUGAGCCAAUUAAUCAAAACACAACCAUUCCCUCGAACCAUACUUCUCAACCCAAGUUAUAACUUUUACACAAACUGCUUCUCAAUUCAUUACAACAAAAAUAACAAAAGCCCACUUCAGAUCCAAAACAUAUUUAUUAUAAAACACUCCCAAGUACCCUUACACAAACAGCUUCUCAAUUCAUUACAACAAAAAAAACAAAAACCCACUUCAGAUCCAAAGCAUAUUUAUUAUAAAACAUUGUCAAACAUCAAACCCAGCAAUAAAAUCACAAUAUGAAACAAACCCACGAAAUAAUUUAAAAAAACAACUAAAGUAAAGGGUUGGGUAAUACCUGGUGGUAUCAUUAUCAGGAUUGUGACUGAUAACAAUAGCAUAAUCCCCAGAAGCUCUAGCAAAAACACCACGGUCUCCAACAUGAUGUUCCACGUUACAAACAACAGCCCCUUCAGGAACAGAUCUCAGAGGCAAGACAUUCCCAACCAUCAAGUUAGCCUUCUUUCCACAGUAUACAAACUGUCCAGUAUACAUACCCUCAGCAGCGACAAAAAGCUCCUUCUGCUUCUUAUACCUAAAGGGAUGUCUGAAGGUAACUCGGGCUAAUGGGGCACCACGACCCGGGUCAUGAAUGAUUUCGGUGACAACACCUUUCAAGUAACCAUUUCUUUCACCAAAGUCCAGAGACCUGAACCUUGCCGGACCCUUGCGAUGGUGGGUGUGGGAUUUGAAAACAGAGCCAGCUCCCUUACGCUGGGCACGAAUUACACGACCCAUUUGUGCUGGUUGUGUGUGAAGCGAGUAACUGAAAAUAAGUGGCAAAGAGUGAAUAUGAGAAGAAUAUAUAGGAUUAUUUAAUGAUCAAUAAGUAAAGUAGUCUUUCACUACAAGUCAUAAAAUGAUUUAUAUAUUUAUAAUAUAAGCUUGAUACCUCUUCAUACCCCAUCAUUGGAGACUAGUUUAGUUAAAAAUAAUUCAUAUUGCCAAAUUAAAUUCUUUAAGCUUAAGAAAUAAAUUCAUUCUGGUUUUACAAUGGAGAUUAAUUUUAAUUAAGAUAAAAGAUUUAAUUUUACAGAAUUGAAUUUCAUCAAAUGAGCAUGCCAAAUUAACGAUACAAAUUUAAUUCCAAAUGUGACAAACCCCCUUAAUACCUACCUUAGCAAUCAUAUUUACAAUAAAACUUCAGAUUUUUACAAGAAAAGAAACCAUAUAAACCCACAGAUUAUGUUUUUUCCUUGACAUGCAACAGCCAACAGAAGCAGGAAAAAAUUGUCAAAAAAGAUGAAACAGAGUAGAGGAUCAAGAUUCCUGCUUGUUUAAUUUAAAAUCAUAUUAAAUUUGUAAAAUUCUUCACAAAUUAGCUGGUUUACAAAGAAUGAAUCACAUAAACAUAUUGAUCAACAAAAAAAAUAAGAAUAAAGAAGACCAUAAAUUAUCCCAAGUCAAGAAUCCCCGCCAACAGUGGAUAUCAAUUAUAGUUACUAGGAGCGCCAACCCAACAGAACCAUAAAAGUACCAUAAAAAUGACUAGGACUCCUUCUGGUCCCCAUUCAAGUCUCAGUUUUUCUAUCUUUUUUGCUCUGCUCUCUCUUCGACAUACUGUGUUAUGUCGACCCAACCAGUUUUAACCAUUCUUCGCAGAAUCUUUUACCCAAUCAGUUCAUCCAUUUUUUUCAAACAAAACAUUAGCUUCGCCAAGAGAUGUAAAAAAAGCUAAAUUGGGAUAUUUCAAAAUUUCAGCGUAGUUGUUUUAUAUCUGAAAUUUGAAUGGAUGCAAACAUAUGCAAAUGGAGUUUUGAGUUCAAACUACAUUACAGUAGUUUUUACGUAGACAGUAAUGGGGAUCUAAAAUCCUAAAAUAUCUGGUCUUGGGUUAGCUAGGCAUGGUGAAGAGAUCUAUGGCACUAGAAUAAGCACUGUGGGGUUAAUUGACAGACAGCGCAGAUGCUUACCUGAAUGGUGGAGGCAAGAGCAAGCCGCCGAAGGGGAAAGAGCGGGAUGGCAGCGACAAGAGCUAAGAAACCCUAAACUCUUAGUGUGUGUCUAUAUAUAUAGAGAGAGAGAGAGAGAGCUGGGUAUAAUAUAAUAUUUGCAAUGAAUAUUAAUAAAAAGUGAUAAAAGAAUAAAAGAUAAAUACAGGAGGAUUUAGAUGCGUUUAGAAGUGUGUUAUUAAUUAUUUUUUAAAAUAUUUUUUAUUUAAAAAUAUAUUAAAAUAAUAUUUUUUAUUUUUUAAAUUAUCACAUUCAAAUAAUAUAAAAUACCAUUUAGAACCUAAUUCAAAAUUACAGCUUUUAAAACUUGAAAAAACUGAUUUACAUAUAUUUUAAAAAUGUUUAACAUGUUUUUUAUAAUAAAAUUAUUUUCUUAAUCUAUAUUGUGGAUCAAUUCAUGUAUCAAAUAAAAUUAAUUUUUUAAAAAUUAUUUUAAAGACGCACUUUUUAUAUUGCUCAUAAGCAUUUAGAAAAAUAGAUUUAUUUUUUAAAACUUGAAAAAAUUGAUUUACAUAUAUUUUAAAAAUGAUUUACAUAUAUUUUAAAAAUGUUUUUUUAGAUGAGAUUUUUUCAUCCUUUUAUUUAAUUUAUAUUAUCAAGGCCUAGUCAUUUCAAGUAUAAUUCUCUUUUUAAAUGAAAUGUUUAUAUCAAUGGGAUAUUAAAUAUUUUAAAUAAAGUUCUUGAGUUUAUAUCUUAUCAUUUCAAAGGGGUUGACAACAAUGGGUAGUGUUGGGAGACUAGAAUCUUUUAUAGAUGUAAAUGGCAGUGCUAUCUGUUCUCCAAUUGAUCCAUGAUAGCAAGAGAUUUGUUUGCAGCAUCUGUGAUUCAUAACCGUUCUUCAAUCAAGUGUGUUUUUUUUUUUAAUAAUUUUUUUUUAAAAAAAAUAUUUUGACAUGUUAAUAUUAAAAAUAAAUUAUAAAAAAUAUUAUUUUAAUAUAUUAUAAAUAAAAAAAUAUUUUAAAAAUAAUCGUUACCACAAUUCUAAAUAUUAUCUGAUUUAUGGUAGCAAAACAUGUCUGUGCAUGUAACUUGAAAUAAAAAUCUUAUUUUAAAAAAUCUUGGUUUAAAAGUUUAGAGGUUUUUUUCUUCCAUCUUUUUUUCCUGUUUAUUAUAUUAUAUUUUAAAAGACAUAAAAAAAAACAUUGUGCAUAUAUUAUGAAGUGAAUAUAGAUUUAUUGUACUAUAAACCACACUAUAAACAUAGAGUAUACGUAUUGUGGACGAUAUUGUAGCGUUAUGGGCACGUUAUUUUUUUUGUGUCAAAGUUGUUUGGUCCAGCUUUCCGCUAGACUCACCGAUCUUGGGUUUGGCUGGACCGCCAGAUAUUUCCAAUUUUAUUUUUAUCUCUUUAGAUUUUUUUUAAUGUUCUCUUAUUGAUUUAUUUUUUCAUAUGGUAAAGAAAAAAUAAAUUAAUGAGAUAUUUUUUUUUUAUUGUAAAAAAAUUAGGCGAUGAUAUUUUUUUUUUAUUCAAGGUUGGGUUGAAUUGUUUUUCUCUUAGUGUUGGGUACUGCUGCUCCAAGGACCCAAUAGCAUAGAUCUUGCUGCCCAACAAAACCAAAGUAUUUAGCUGCCAGAAAUACCUAGUAGUGUUUCGUCUUAUUGCCUAGCAGGAUCCAAUAAAAUUGGAUCAACAGCACCUAAUAGCAUAGAGUCAUGUUGCCAUAAUCUCAGAUAUUAUCUGAUUUAUGAUAGAGAGGAAUUUGUUUGUGUACAUGAUUUGAAAUAAAAAUUUUAUUUUAGAAAACCUUGGUUUAAAAGUUUAGAGGUUUCUUCUUCUUCUUCUUUUUCAUCACCAAAGCUAUGAAUUUUUAUUAGUAUUUUUUUUUCUAAUAACAUAUGUUAAAAGUGUAUUUUGUUUUGUAUUGAUUAAAUAUUUAUAAAAAUAUUUUAUCUAUAGAAAAAAUAUCCAGCACGUAUUUGAUUUAUUUUUUAAAAUACAAACACCCCCCCCCCCCAAAAAAAAAAAAAAGCAGAUGCCCUUAAAUGGAAAAAAAAAAAUGAAUUUUCACGCACACCCAAUAUACAUCUUAGCACAGUGUCAAUUUAGUAGCCACAUCAGCAUAUUUGAUAGAAUCGUUAAAUAAAAAUAGGACAUUUAAAUAGAAAAAAUAAGAAUUCACGCACUAAAUAUAUAAUAAUGAGAACACGCAAAAUUGGAAGUGAAAAAUGCAUGCAUACUCGGGAUACAGGUCAACAUGCCACGUGUUAAUUUAGUGGCUACGUUAGCAUAUUUUAAAGAAUUUAAUAAAAGUACUCGAAUAUGAAAAAUCUAAAAGUUCAAUCACGCAGCAAAAAUAUAAAAAUAGGAUACUUAAAUAGAAAAAAUAAAAAAAUUAACAUACUAAAUAUGUAAUAAUUUCAAAACAAAUUGAUAUAAAUUUGUUUAGUAAAUAUACUGAAUAAAUUUCAAAAUAUUUUUUUAUAAAAUACUGUUUAGAACGACAUAAAACCACAAUUGAGGAUUUGAGUUUGUAAAUAUUGUUAGUUUUUUUUAUCAAUAAUUUAAAAAUACCUAAUUUCACAUCUAAAAAACAAUAAAGCUAAUUUUAUAUUAUAAAUAACAAAAUAAAAGGUCACAAGCAAUUUUUUAACUAAUUAUAUAAAGCAAAACAAAAAUUUUGGCAUUAUGUCUUAUAUUUAGAUAAGAAUUUAUAACCUAUUGUUUAAUUAGUCUUUUACUCUAAAGAAAUAUAAACACUAAUUAUGAAAAAAAAAUAUAAACAAACACAUUAAAAACAGUUAAAUUGAUCCUUAAAAGAUAUAUAGAAUGAGAACAACGAAAUAUAAAGUGGAAGCAAUGUCAUUAUAAGGGGUUGAGAAUGUGAUAAAGUUGUUAUUUUGAAGUGAUUUUUAUUUAGAAAUAUAUUAAAAUAAUAUAUUUUAUUUUUUAAAAUUUAUUUUUAACAUCAAAAUGAUUCAAAAACAUACAAAAACAAAUUAAUUUGAAGUAAAAAUAAAUAAAAAAUAGCAACACAAUGGUUCAACCGUUAUAUUAAAUGGUCCUAUAUCUUCAGCGAGCACAAAGAUUUCAAAAGAAUUUCCUUACAGGAACCUUGUUCUCAAGGUGUGUUUAAGAUGGGAUAGAAAUUAUUUUUUAAAAUAUUUUUUAUUUUAAAAUAUAUUAAAAUAAUAUAUUUUUUAUAAAUUUUAUUUUUAACAAUAAUAUCAAAACAAUUCUAUAAACACAAAAAAAUAAAAAUAAGAAUUUUCAAAAGUACAUUUAAACCACAAAACAAACUCUUCCUUGCUUAUUAUACCAAUGUGUUUGAGAUUGUGAUAAAAAUUAUUUUUUAAAUGUUUUUUAUAUAAAAAAAUACUAAAAUAAUUUUUUUUAGUUUUAAAAAUUUAUUUUAACACUGAUACUUCAGAACAAUUCAAAAAUACAGGAAAACAAAUCAAAAUAGAUAAAAGAAAAUUUUUUUUUUUAUUAAAGUUAUAGUUGGACUGUGAAAACAACCUUUCUUAAAUCUAAACUUGGCUAUGUUGGCUCUUAUUCUACAUCUCCGUUUAUUCAACAACGCUUUUAAAAUUUUACUUUUAUUUUUUUAGAUUCAUUUUAUUUUUUUGAAUUGUUUUAACAUAUCAAUGUUAAAAAACAUUUUUUAAUAAAAAGAAUUUUUUUAAAUAUAUUUAUAAGUAAAUGAAACAAUUUAAAAAACAACAUUCCAAAUUCCCAAAUAAACCCAACGUCAGGUAUGGCUGUGCUGAGGGUUGAUAAGAGCAAGUGAUUAUUGUUUUUUUCUCAGAUUCAUUUAUGCUGGGGGAACUAAGAGUCCGUUUGGCAACGCAUUAGCGUUCGCGUUUCUUCAAAAACGCAUGAAAUAACUGUAUGGUUACAAAUACUGAAACAAUCAAAACACAUGGUCCCGUCAUUUAUAUGCGGCAGGACCAUGAUUUUUCAGAAGCAGUAAAAUACUGCUUUUUUACGAGUUUCAACCUGUGAAACACACACUAUUAAGUGAAUUUCACUGUUCACGUGAACAGUGCAAUUCGCUUUGCACUGUUCACGUGCACUUUUUUUUCCGUUUGUUAUUUUUUUAACAAUUUUUUUUUAAAAAAAACUAGUUUAGAGUGAAUUAAAUUCACUCGCAUUGUGAUGUGGACAAUAUUUUUUUUCAUGAAAAACUAGUAUAGAGUAAAUUAAAUUCCCUCACACUGUAAUAUCAAUUUUAUACCUGAUAAUAUUUUAUUUGAUUUUAUUACACGCUCACAAAAUUAUGAAAACUAUAUUUCUUAUCGGCUGAAUUUUAUAUGUAAUGGAAUUAUAAAUAGUUUAAUGGAAUAAUAAAAAAUAUUUUAUAUCAAGUAUUAUUUAUUUCAUGAUGUAAUAGGAGUAGUUAAUUAUACUCUAUUUAAAUUUAAAACCAUCAAUAUUAAUAUAUAUAUACAUAUAUUAAAAUUAUUUUAUAACCUCAAUUUCAAAAGCAUUCUUAACCAAACACAUUAAACUAUUUUUUCUUCAACCUUAAUUUCAACCACAGUUUUAACCAAACACCUAUUUUUUCAAACCAACCUCAACUAAAAAUACUUUUUAUAAAACAACUUUUUUCAAACCACAACCACAACAGCUACCACAAUACCAAACACACUCUAAAAGAGAUAGAAAACCACCAUCGCCGGGUUGGGGUUACAGUUACCGUGCGGCAACCACCACCCACGGAUAUCACCGUACAGUGUUCCCUAGUUGACCAUUCCUCAAGAAAAAAUUCUAAUCAGACUGGUUGAGUUGCAGAGUGAAACUCUAGCAAUAAUUACAUACGAUAAGAUGCAAGGCAAGGAAUUUAAAAUCCAACUUGAGCAUAAAUUCAAAAUAUAUAUAUCUUAAAAAGUCGGAAACAAAUGCCGUCUGAAACUUGAAUAUCCAAACAAAACUUUCAUUAGAAACAUCCCAGGAAGUGCUGAAAUAAUCUAACAGGCAGUGACAAUAACCAAAAACAAUGACGCAAAUGAAAAUCAUUAAACCUUGUCAGCCUUGGCGGCAGAGGCAGCAGCCUGUCCUCUAAGACGACCAGUUCUCCUAGCAGCAAUGAGACCAACCUUUUGACCAGGAGGAGCAUCACGCCU